ACGAACGCUGGCGGCGUGCAUAACACAUGCAAGUCGAACGGAAAGGCCCUGCUUUUGUGGGGUGCUCGAGUGGCGAACGGGUGAGUAACACGUGAGUAACCUGCCCUUGACUUUGGGAUAACUUCAGGAAACUGGGGCUAAUACCGGAUAGGAGCUCCUGCUGCAUGGUGGGGGUUGGAAAGUUUCGGCGGUUGGGGAUGGACUCGCGGCUUAUCAGCUUGUUGGUGGGGUAGUGGCUUACCAAGGCUUUGACGGGUAGCCGGCCUGAGAGGGUGACCGGCCACAUUGGGACUGAGAUACGGCCCAGACUCCUACGGGAGGCAGCAGUGGGGAAUAUUGCACAAUGGGCGGAAGCCUGAUGCAGCAACGCCGCGUGCGGGAUGACGGCCUUCGGGUUGUAAACCGCUUUCGCCUGUGACGAAGCGUGAGUGACGGUAAUGGGUAAAGAAGCACCGGCUAACUACGUG
rnacentral:rRNA from 1 species